GGACUGACCUAGUUCGAUCUUUUAAAAUUAUGGCAUUUAAAGACCAUGUAAUAUAAUAGUCCAGACAUGAAUAUAAAUGUAUGAAUGUGUUGCUUAACAUGUUUAUAACAGUAUGAAUGGAGAAUAGGUUAAGUGGGAGUUUACAUGGGAGAGUUUGGAGAGAUCAUUUGGGGUCAGAAUGUGGUGAGCCUGGAGGGCUGUGCUGAGUUCAGAUUUCAUUCUGGGAAAGGUGGAGAGCCAUGAAUGAAAUUUGAUGGGAAAUUGGUUAAAGGAUCAAAUUUGAAUUUUAAACAAAUUAUUCUGGCAAC
rnacentral:lncRNA from 1 species